rnacentral:pre_miRNA from 1 species
UGAAUAACAGUGNMAUUCUCCUUUGGCAGAAGUCAUUCUGGUGCAUAUACUCUUGAGUACUAUCGCUGGAURCAUAUAUAUGCUUUCUGCCAAAGGAGAAUUGCCCUGCAAUUCA